CGCUGCUGUGCUCUGAGGGGCCGGGGACCGCAGCGCUCCUCACGGGGCUCUGGGGCUGCCGGUGGCGGCGCGCUCGUCCUUCCUGGCCUCGGGAGAGAUCGCUUCCAGGAAUUGAGGGGCUGCGGAGGCAGGAAAUCCUGCGGGGCCCCGUGCAGGGAGCGGCCGCAACGGCAUCACCUCCGCGCGCGGGAGGGUGGGGUCCCAGCCGCCUCCUUCCCGCUCCGUGUGAGCAUCCGCACGAUGAAAUGUGGAACUUGACUGUGAGAUGAAGGGGUGUGUGUGUGCCUCCCUGAACUGUGAAUACUCCUGUUUAACAUUGCUGACGAAUCUGACGAGUAAAUCCCACCUCACUGCUCGCUUCAGUUUCCCCAAACAGAACUUUGAUCCUGAAUCGUAGCUAAAAAACAACGUUAAACCCGUUUUCUGCCCCGGGUGCUUCCCAUUUACGCUGUCCUCCGGGUGUCUGACCUCUCUAUCAACGAUACACUAACAGAAGUCUUUAGAGAGAACAAUAGCGGGAUGCCGCUACAGAUGUGCCUCCAGAUCUUUAUAUGCAUGGGAUAAAUUCCCCUUGAAUUCAGUGGAGUUCUACCAGCCAGAAAUUUUGCUUCUCACCUUCAUUGGGAUUUAAAUGGCCAUCUAGCUCAGAGCUAAUUUUAUCUACAUUAUGUCUUUGAUGGAAAGCAUAUCCAAGCAGAAAGUCUAUUUCUCUGCAGCAAUAGAAGGCACGUCAGCAGCAUGGAGACAUUAAUGAACAAAACAGAGUAAAUUAUGUCCCCCAGAAGCUGUGGGUCCUCUCCUCCAACCUGUCCACAAGAGUUCAGUAAUGUGAAUAGUUCUUAUGCAGCUGUAAUGUGAGAUGAUGCUUGUAUAUGGUGUUAAACCACAUCCAUAAAAUCUCCACUGAUAAUAAAAGGUGAUUUCCCUAUUGAGUGACAAUCAGGCUACAUUGCUAUUAAUAGAACUGAAGAAGAACACAUCUGCUCUACCCUCCCCUCUCACUGUCAAGGCUAAGCACCUAGGAGACAGCAAAUGUUUCUGUUUACUAAUGGAAAAGUACCUGGACAGACCUCACUUGCCCUGGGAAGACUAAAAAUUGGGCCACAGGCCCUCUUCAGAUAGAAAACAAAGCCUGGAUAGGAGGCAAACAAAGCUAGCUAUGAAGCAAUACAGAGAAAAUAAAGGAAAAAAUUUCUAUUAUCUCUACUCAUCCAUAUGAAUUCUAUACAAGAUGAACUUUCUAGACAGCUUUCCUCUGCUCAUCAGAAUAUCUGUGAUAGAGGAAAUAUGCAAUUUCCCCAAUCUCAAGCCUUCUAAGAGGACAAGAGUUUCUGGUGUUGGGAAGUUGCGUCUCCUGUCUAGCCUGUCUCUCUCCAGGUAGUCUAUGUACUGCACAACCCUGAAUUGGAAAAAAUACUGUAUAACAAAAACUGAAUCUCAUUUCAUGAUAAAUUUCUCUUUGAGUAGGUCUUUCCAGAAGCAGCCUUCAGAGCAUUCAAUUGGUGAAGUCAUUAUGGUUUGGAACCGGGAAACUGAGGCAGCACUUUGCAGUCCUUUCAUAUAAAAUUGCAAGCAAAAUCACAGAGGCAUCAUUAAAAAUUACAAAACAUAAUUGCUGUUUAUUCUUUGUGUUGCCUGAGAGCUACAGUGACAAACAGAGCUCUGCUUGUGUCUGUGCAAACACUGUGUGAUCUUACAAACAUGUUUUGAAUGCAUUAUGUACAAUGAUUUGGUUCAAGGACAAUUUAAAACUUUCACCAGCUUCUUCAGCAGGCUUGACUAAAGGUUCCCUGACCUCCCUGGGAUAGCUAAGAUUGCAAAGAUGUUCAGAAAUUAUAUGUAAAAUGACAAAAACUGUCUCAUGUGCAGUUUCCAAAGGGUACUAUAUAAUGUCUCGCUUGGACAGAAUAGAGUGCCGCUGCUGGGCCUGUCUGACCCCCAGUUUCUGCUGGCAACAAGCCCAGAUAAACGUCCCGGGGGAGAGCCACCAUCCGGGGUUUCCAGGCAGUCUCCAGCCAGGGGUAACCCUUAGGAGCACAGGCAGAGGCCUUUGGUGACCAGCUCUUUUAGAAGGUGAUUUCUGCUCUGUGAUCAGCUCAGUUCAGCCCAGCCAGGUCCCUUCAGGAGUUACCCCAGGUGACGCUGACAAGAGAUAGGAAGACCAUGUGGCAUUCCACAGAAAGUCUUUAAUGCAGGCUUCAGCGAAGGGGGCCAGUGAUGAUCUAACCACUGAUCUGGGCAAAAGCUGGGUUUUUUAUGGGGAAGGGGAGAAUUGGGAAGGGGACCAAUGGUCUGAGAUGGGGAUAAGAUGACCAAUAGUUAACAGGGAGAUAACAUGUGUCCUGAGGCAGAAAGGGGUCCACAGCUCAGUCACCAUGACUAGGCAGUUUUAUCUUAUCUUAGGGGACAGAUCUCCAGGGAGGAUGCCUGUCAUACUGGGCUUCCUCCACAAUAGAGUUUGGAUUCAAUACACUGCCAGUCUUUGAGAGGGCUCAGAUUGAUGCCCAAAAUGUCUCUUCAUGCAGAGGGACCUUCUGUAAAUAGUAAAAAAUAUUUACCUCCUACAGCAAUUGGUGGACUUUCCUAAUAAAAGAAAGGAAGAGUUAAAAUAUUAAUAUUUAAAAAUACCUUCAGAAAACAGCAUCUCAUAUGCAAUUGUUUUGUUAGUAUGUAGUUUGUUCUAUUAGUAUAUUGAUAAAAGUUAGUAAAACUUCAGAUCUCAUCUUUGUAAACUGUUAUCUAGCUCUGGGCAGUUCUGUACUGGAAAACUGCUCUAACUCUGAGGUAAAAUGUGAUAUCCUGAGUGAUCUAAAUUUAUGUGAAGUGAAAUGAAUUUAUGAGUAUCUCUAUGGAACGAAUGCAACAAAUACCACAUCACCUGGUGUCUCUUUAUUUGGGAUACCACAGUGCCAUCAUAGCAUUGUAAUAACUUUGAUUAUUAGAGUAGUCAGAAAACUAAAUUUGCUGAAAUGGGAAUGAUUUCUCUGAUGGUGCACUCAAAGUAGUUGGCUCCCAGUCUUACUGCAGCUGGUUUGUGCAGCCACAAAGUGUCCAGAGAUGUCUCACUUGCUAAACAGGCUAUGAAACAUGGCUUGAUAAAGACUACUUGAGUCAGUAUCUAGGAAUACUUAAACACAACUGAAAACUGUGUCCAUACAUGGUUGUGUCUGGAGCUAAGAACUGAACUUUUUGAUGGAGAGCAAGAUAUGAAGGUUUUAUUUCCUUAUCAGCUCUGUGAUUCAUGCAUGGUCAAUCUUUUGGACCAGGUAUUAUCAACAUGAACUUGUUUGGACCAGAUUUCUAUUGGAUAAAAACUAUUAGAUAGACGUGCCUGCAGCCAAGUAUUAUCAAAUGCUUGGAAAGAUCUUCGGGUAUGGGAAUUACUUCAGUCCUUCUGUAUGAACUUGUGCUUGUACUUUGAAAAGGUGCUUCAGCAUUUUCUGCACACUGCUGGGGAACAGAACCCUUGAAAUGGUUGGAAUUAUGCCUGUGAGUUCAGUAUAGGUCUCCCCCUCUAAAUGACAUGCUUUAUACUCUGGAAAAACUUAGCACUGUUGUAGUAAGCCUAGUGCAUCCCAAAACAAGUCCCUGUAAAUUACAAAGUAUAAAAGCUGUAAUUUCCCCUACUCUCCAUGGGUAAAGGAUACAUAUUCAUACAUAACAUUAUUUUAAUGGAAAUCUCUUACUCUAUUUCUCGGUGAGGAGGGAAUAGGUAGAUAGUGUCAAAGUGGGUAAAUAUUUCUCUAGUUUAUGGAUGUAUAAGUUGAUUUUUCAUUUGAUUUAACACAAAGACUUUACACUCCCAGGGGAAAUUACUUCAUAUUUUCAGUGUUCCUAUCUUUCAAGGACUAAUUUGUUAUAUACAGCUGUUCCAAGGUGGAGGUGAAAAAGGAAUGAAAGGAGAAAAAAACCCUAAACUUCAGUAAAAGUUUUGAAAAAAUCCAAAAACUCGUGAAGUAUCAUAGGACUUAGCCAAGUCUUCUCUACUGCCCACUAGGCUAAGUAACAGCUGUUCUGCAUGCUUGAUUCAUCUGGGAAACAUUUGUAUUUGAAUAGUUUUCACAGUAUUUAUAAAUCCUUCUCAGAAAAAAAAAAAAAAAUGCCUAUGUAAAAAUACUAUUUCAUUGCAGCAUCCUCGCCGCGGUACAAUUUUAAAUGAGAGCAGAGUCUAACUUAGUGAGAAUAUUAAAGGGAUCUCUAUCACAAUUUUUGGGGUGAGAGUUGUUACCAUUACAUCACUUUUGAAGGCAAAUUAUCCCAAAUGUGCUGCUCAUUAAGAACAUGAAUCUUUUUAGAAGAAUAGGAGAAGUGAUGGGGGUUGGGUGUCCUUCCUUUUGUUCCAUCUCACGUAUGGAAUUCUUUACCCAUUUUCCCAGUUGCGGGAAAACCUGAUGGCUGGUACUUGGUGCGUGCUUGAGAAACACAGGGAGUUUG